rnacentral:lncRNA from 1 species
UACAUUAAAGAUCUCCAAACACAAGUCAAAGUAUGUGUGGAUAUAAUGCUCAUCUUAUAAGUAUAAAAGCCAAAAUCUUUGGACCCAUCUCCAUUCAUGGGGUUAUCUUAUUUCACUGCAGGCAAUGUCUGAAAGUCGAGCCAAAUGUACGUGUACAAUGAGUAUGCAUCAAAGCUAGCUCAAAGAGUGAGACUUUACCUCACCCUUAUAGCCUCCUUUUACUUCUCCGACAUGGGAUAACCGAACAGGAACUUCUUGGUUCGGCCAUAUAUAUGUAUACAAGUAAUAAGGGCUCUGUUAAAAUCUAGUUGCAGAUUUAAGUUCAUAUAUAUAGCUAUCAGCAGCCCCUCUAGAAGUUGGCAUAAGAGAUAGAAGAAACCCAGAAGAAAAUGUACAGUAAGUAGUUUGGGAUGUUGCCUUUGGUAGAAUGUUUUUGUGACAUAGUCAUUAUUUUGUUCUCCCCCCAUAUACUUAUUGGAGCAUGGAACCCCAAAUUUUAUGUACGCAAAUUUUUUAAGAACAUUGUUUGUUUUCAAGCAUUGAACUAUCUUCCUGUUUGCUCAUUGCCAAUAAUACUAGGGAUGUGGUGUUUGCCACUACUCUCAUUUCUGUCGAUGUCUCGUUGUUUCGAGUUACAGUUUGGACCGGUGGCGCUCAUUAUCACUGAAUGAUUGUUGUUAACCCGCCGACUAUACGUAAGUUCAUGGAUAUCAAACUAGAUCCAUUCCUCCUUUCGACGAUCCUUUCUUGGAGCUAAGCCUUUGCUAGCGACGGGUUCUCGCCAAAGAACGAGAUGGAUGAUGCUAGACUACACAAUAAUCUACUUCUAUUCGAUCGAGUUUGCCUCCAAGCUUGAUUAAAGAAUGCAUGAACGAGAGGAGAAGAAUCUGAUGAUUCCUCUGCUCAAGUCUUGGGUAUACUUCGUCGCCAAGAAGAGUUGUUGGCGGGGUUUUGAAGUACAGUCCAAAACUAAGCAACUUAACAUUUCGUAUCGAUGAUAGAGUUGAGAGUUCGAUAUAGCGGUUGUUAGACAAUUCACUAUGAUCUCCCAUCUCCUAAAUUUAGCAAUGUUUAGCUUUACAUGUGUAUUAGUCCUAUUUGAAAGGAUGAUAAGACUCGAUUAAUUUUGGAAAAGAAUGGUCUACAUCUCUUGUGAAGAGAGAAAAGAACACUUUUUGUUAACAAGUGAUUUUGUGGGCAUGGGAAAAAGUUGUGCACUUUGAAGUGUGCUUUUGUCG